rnacentral:rRNA from 1 species
UACGAAGGAUGCAAGCGUUAUCCGGAUUUAUUGGGUUUAAAGGGAGCGUAGGCGGUCUUAUAAGUCAGUGGUGAGAUCUUGUCGCUUAACGACAAACGUGCCAUUGAUACUGUAGGACUUGAGUACAGAUGCCGUUGGCGGAAUGUGUCAUGUAGCGGUGAAAUGCAUAGAUAUGACACAGAACACCGAUUGCGAAGGCAGCUGACGAAACUGUAACUGACGCUGAGGCUCGAAAGCGUGGGGAUCAAACAGG